UGAUACGUAGCCGACCUGAGAGGGUAAUCGGCCACAUUGGGACUGAGACACGGCCCAAACUCCUACGGGAGGCAGCAGUAGGGAAUCUUCCACAAUGGACGAAAGUCUGAUGGAGCAACGCCGCGUGAGUGAAGAAGGGUUUCGGCUCGUAAAACUCUGUUGUUAAAGAAGAACAUAUCUGAGAGUAACUGUUCAGGUAUUGACGGUAUUUAACCAGAAAGCCACGGCUAACUACGUGCCAGCAGCCGCGGUAAUACGUAGGUGGCAAGCGUUGUCCGGAUUUAUUGGGCGUAAAGCGAGCGCAGGCGGUUUUUUAAGUCUGAUGUGAAAGCCUUCGGCUCAACCGAAGAAGUGCAUCGGAAACUGGGAAACUUGAGUGCAGAAGAGGACAGUGGAACUCCAUGUGUAGCGGUGAAAUGCGUAGAUAUAUGGAAGAACACCAGUGGCGAAGGCGGCUGUCUGGUCUGUAACUGACGCUGAGGCUCGAAAGUAUGGGUAGCAAACAGGAUUAGAUACCCUGGUAGUCCAUACCGUAAACGAUGAAUGCUAAGUGUUGGAGGGUUUCCGCCCUUCAGUGCUGCAGCUAACGCAUUAAGCAUUCCGCCUGGGGAGUACGGCCGCAAGGCUGAAACUCAAAGGAAUUGACGGGGGCCCGCACAAGCGGUGGAGCAUGUGGUUUAAUUCGAAGCUACGCGAAGAACCUUACCAGGUCUUGACAUACUAUGCAAAUCUAAGAGAUUAGACGUUCCCUUCGGGGACAUGGAUACAGGUGGUGCAUGGUUGUCGUCAGCUCGUGUCGUGAGAUGUUGGGUUAAGUCCCGCAACGAGCGCAACCCUUAUUAUCAGUUGCCAGCAUUAAGUUGGGCACUCUGGUGAGACUGCCGGUGACAAACCGGAGGAAGGUGGGGAUGACGUCAAAUCAUCAUGCCCCUUAUGACCUGGGCUACACACGUGCUACAAUGGAUGGUACAACGAGUUGCGAACUCGCGAGAGUAAGCUAAUCUCUUAAAGCCAUUCUCAGUUCGGAUUGUAGGCUGCAACUCGCCUACAUGAAGUCGGAAUCGCUAGUAAUCGCGGAUCAGCAUGCCGCGGUGAAUACGUUCCCGGGCCUUGUACACACCGCCCGUCACACCAUGAGAGUUUGUAACACCCAAAGUCGGUGGGGUAACCUUUUAGGAACCAGCCGCCUAAGGUGGGACAGAUGAUUAGGGUGAAGUCGUAACAAGGUAGCCGUAGGAGAACCUGCGGCUG
rnacentral:rRNA from 1 species